GACGAACGCUGGCGGCGUGCCUAACACAUGCAAGUCGAGCGGGGUUAUACGGAAGCUUGCUUCUGUAUAACUUAGCGGCGGACGGGUGAGUAACGCGUGAGUAACCUGCCCGUAAGACGGGGAUAACACAGAGAAAUCUGUGCUAAUACCCGAUGAAGAAAUUUUGCUGCAUGGCAGGAUUUUGAAAGAUUUAUCGCUUACGGAUGGACUCGCGUUCGAUUAGAUAGUUGGCAGGGUAACGGCCUACCAAGUCGACGAUCGAUAGCCGAACUGAGAGAUUGAUCGGCCACAUUGGGACUGAGACACGGCACAGACUCCUACGCGAGGCAGCAGUGGGGAAUAUUGCGCAAGGGGGGGAACCCUGACGCAGCAAAGCCGCGUGAAGGAAGAAGGUCUUCGGAUUGUAAACUUUUGUCGCAAAGGAAGAAAGAAAUGACGGUACUUUGUGAGAAAGCCACGGCUAACUACGUGCCAGCCGCCGCCGUAA
rnacentral:rRNA from 1 species